rnacentral:lncRNA from 1 species
AGAGAGAGAGAGAGAGAGAGAGAAAGUUUGUGCACAAAACAGCACAGAAAAAUAUAUGACAGCAACUGGCCAUCCAAAAGUAUGCCUACUUAUAGACAAUUUUCUAGGAAGAAUUUAUCCUCACAAUCGAGAUGGUGUCAAUCUGGCAGUGGAGAACAUCAAUUAUAUAUUUAAAUAUUUGGCCAAUUUAUCUAACCUCACAUCCUUUAAGAAAACCCAUAAAACAACACAAGAAAAUGAGAAAUGGUUUGAUUUAGGCUGUAAAACCAUGAGGAAAAAAUUAAGACAAUUAUCAAAUCAAAAACACAGACAACCAAACAAUGAAGAUUUACGCCAUCAAUAUUGUGAAGAACUUAAACAGUAUAAAAGUACACUCAGAAAAAAGAAAGAACAGUACAUCCAAAAUCAACUAAAAACUAUUGAAGAAUCCGUAAAUUCUAACAAUUUCUGGGACAACUGGAAUUACUUGCAUAAAAAACAUCAUGAACAAGCAGCCAUACUAAACGGAGACACCUGGAAAAAUCACUUUGAACAACUCUAUAGUGAAAUUACAAUGAACCCAGAACAAACCCAAACAUAUGAAAAAGUGAUUCAUAUGGAACAUACAAUUGGUAAAUAUCAAAACCCAUUAGACUACCCCAUUACAGAAAAUGAACUGAUUGAUAAAAUCCAGGUCCUAAAAAACAAAAAAGCAAGUGGAGCAGAUGGCAUCCUCAAUGAAAUGCUCAAGAACACAGAGCACACAUUAAGAUUGGCCCUACUAAAACUGUUCAACUUGGUUCUGAGUGUUGGUCAUUUCCCUGAAACCUGGAAUCAAGGACUCAUAACGCCCAUAUUCAAGAGUGGAGACAAAUCAGACCCCAACAACUACAGAGGCAUCUGUGUAAGCAGUAAUCUGGGGAAGCUGUUCUGCAAUAUCAUCAACACAAGACUUGUACACUUCCUCACAGAGCACAGUGUCCUCAGCAAAAGUCAGAUUGGAUUCUUACCAAAUUACAGAACAACAGACCACAUCUUCACCCUACACACCCUGAUCGACAAAUACAUUAACCAAAACAAAACCAAAAUUUUUGCUUGCUUUGUAGAUUUCCAAAAGGCCUUUGAUUCAAUUUGGCAUGAAGGUCUGUUGUCAAAACUUCUAGAAUCGGGUAUUGGGGGUAAAACAUACAAUAUCAUAAAAACAAUGUAUUCAAACAAUCAAUGCGCAA